CCUACGGGAGGCAGCAGUGGGGAAUAUUGCACAAUGGGGGAAACCCUGAUGCAGCGACGCCGCGUGAGUGAAGAAGGAAUUCGGUAUGUAAAGCUCUAUCAGCAGGGAAGAAAAUGACGGUACCUGAGUAAGAAGCCCCGGCUAACUACGUGCCAGCAGCCGCGGUAAUACGUAGGGGGCAAGCGUUAUCCGGAUUUACUGGGUGUAAAGGGAGCGUAGACGGCAUUGCACGUCUGGAGUGAAAGGCGGGGGCUCAACCCCCGGACUGCUCUGGAAACUGUACGGCUGGAGUGCAGUAGCGGUGCGUGGAAUUCCUAGUGUAGCGGUUCAAUGCGUAGAUAUUAGGAGGAACCCCAGUGGCGAAGGCGGCUUACUGGACUGUACCUGACGUUGCGGCUCGAACGCGUGGGUAGCAAACAGGAUUAGAUACCCUAGUAGUC
rnacentral:rRNA from 1 species